AUUAGAACUUUAAGAAUGAGCUGGCCCGGCGGAGGUGCUGAAAACGUCACUCCGUUUUCAAGGGGGUAAUCUGCAAGUAUAACAAUAACAUUUCUGGGAGAAAAGCAAGAAAAACACUCGACGUAUUGCUUCCUGAAAUGCACCGCCUAUUACGAACGAAUAAGCACCGCUUCUGGGCGGACUGGUACCAACAACUUUCAUUUUAUUUAUAGAAGCCAUCAAACAGAACGCGUAGCAACUCGAUCACUGCACAAGCAUUGUUGCUGUACGCUGCGUUUGAACAGCUCAGCACUCCGGAAAACAGUGUUUCAAAAUCAUUUUUUAACCGCACCCUCUCGCAACAAUACUGUUUUUUUCGUAUCGCAAUCGGGAAGCACUCUUGUCGUAAAACCAGCACCUUUGUCUAGCGUAGUCAGCCUCUGCACCCCUUUACAUUCAGUGCGGUACUUUUACGACGGUUCUACAACCGCUUCAGUUAAUUAUUAGAUUUUUUUCAAAGCAUCCAAUUUUACUGCCGAGCAAACUUUGGCAUCGCAUGCCCGACUAAUGGCUGAACAUUAACUGAGAGUAUCAUUGGCGAAACGUACAGAGCUACCCGCAGUAAUGUUCGGACAAUUCUUUACGACCAUGUGCUGGAAUUGAAGUACCGCCGCUGGUUUGUAAUUUACAGCCUCACAAAUAUAAUCCAUUACAAAGCAUUGCAACACGGACGUGCUUUAAGAAAUAAUGUGAAACACGCAGUUAAAAUUUGAUGAAAAAAAUCGGUCCGAAUCGCUGUCAUUUCGCAUUUGUUACCAAAUGUAUACAAAUUAAUGAUACGACGGCAGAAACCACAGACAACUAAGCGCAUGUGUUUGGUAAACAAUCUCACUUCGAUUUCUUAAUGACGAACCCACUAAGCCGCGCUAAGGCGAAUCAGUGUUUCCGGGUGCGAAAUAGAAACCGUCUGGAAACACUGCAGAGACCAAAGCAGUUCGAAACUAAUCUCUCGUGAUGUCGUCCCAUGAUUUCCCAAAGGCGCAUUAGCGAUGGACCAAAAUUGCGAGCGUAUGAUUGGGGUCGACGUCACUAAGUUUCCAUUUAUUCUGAUGACCUUUUAACUAUAUCAGGAAAUUGCUUCGUUUCGAUCGCAUACAUUCUUCAAAUCAAUAAAUCUAAAUGCUUUGGUAUAAGAAUGUGGUACCUUUUGUAAUUAAUUCGAUAGUUUUGUAUUAAAAAAAUAUCAACUACUUUUAAUUAUCGGAAUUUUGCUCAUUGUCACAAUCGAAACGCAUCGAUCCCAAUGUAGUAUUGCACAUUUUGCCGUUUUUUUCUUAUCUAAUCAGUAUUAAAGUUCGGUCAAGUGCA